rnacentral:lncRNA from 1 species
AGGCCCUGAGUUCUAUCCCCAGGACCACAAAAAAAAAAAAAAAAGUGACUCUAUACCCAGUCUCCUGCCCCCCCACUAUUGUGAACAUGUUCUGUUUGUGUAGUAAAGUUGUCAUAACUAACGGCACUUGCUGAUGAUGGUGACUUUGCUCACCUGGCUAAGGUGUUAUCUGGGAUUCCUCACUAUGAAGUCUGUACCAUAUGGAAAGAAGUCACUGAGUAGGGGACAAAAUUGGGGGGAAUGAGUUUAUCUGUAUGGCAGAUUUCAGGCUGAUGUUUUGUUUUUUUAACAGAUACAACAUUUUUUUAAUUUAUCCAUUUUUUUUAAUGUGGUCCUGAGGAUUGAACCCAGUACCUCACACAAGUUAGGCAAGUGCUCUACCACUGAGCCACAACCCCAGCCCCAGACUGAUGUUUUAAACAACUUCUUUCAUCACCCCAAUGCUGUGUCCAAGGACAGAUAGCAAUAGUAGCCAUCAUGUCACCUCUCAGUCAUGUUCUUUGAGCCAGUCCUCUGAUGAGCACUUCACAUGGUUUGCUAAAUUGAGUCCUCAGCCGCCUCCUUUGUGCAAGGUCAGAGAGCCGCCUCUCCCAGCUCUAGGUCCUCGCAGCACAGUCAGCUCAAUCCUCAUCUGGCCAGAGUGGGACUCCUGCUUCCUGGCGCUCCUCCCCACAUCUCCCCAAUCUUAGUAAAUGGCACCAGUAUCCAUCCUGAUACUCAAGCCAGAAACCAGCUCAUCUGGCACGACCCCUCUUCCCAACUCAUCAGUGACCCUAUCCAUUCUGCUUCCCAGAUUGCUCCCAAACUUAUGCAGUACCUUUCCCAGGUUGGAGCCCUGCAGUGCCUAAGUAUGAUGCACUGAGUGUGACACUUCACCUCUGAGAUCUUCCUAAAAUCUCGAACCUCAGUGUAGGCAUAAGAAAAAUAUCAGGCUUGGC